GAUAAACGCUGGCGGCGCACAUAAGACAUGCAAGUCGAACGGACUUAACCAUUAGUUUACUAUUGGAACGGUUAGUGGCGGACUGGUGAGUAACACGUAAGUAACCUGCCUAUCAGAGGGGAUCAACAGUUAGAAAUGACUGCUAAUACCGCAUAAGACCACAGGGUCGCAUGACCCGGUGGUAAAAAACUCCGGUGGUAUGAGAUGGACCCGCGUCUGAUUAGCUAGUUGGUGGGGUAACGGCUCACCAAGGCGACGAUCAGUAGCCGACCUGAGAGGGUGACCGGCCACAUUGGGACUGAGACACGGCCCAA
rnacentral:rRNA from 1 species